AGAGUAAGCAUUGGUAAAUCAAAUGUAAUGUUACUUUUUAAUUAUUGAUGGUGCAUUUUGAAAUUGUGAUUUAAUCAGAAAGAAAAAUUAACCAAAAUUUGUGUAAUAAAGGGUCAAUAUGGAUGGUAACCAGAUUUGUGAGUAAACCUGGAAACAAACCGAGAGAAAAGACAAUGAUUAGGAAGUCCAAAAAGCAACAGUAAUUGUGUUAGGAAAACAAUGAAGGAAAGGAUGAAGACAAAAAAAAGACAGAAAAGGACAGAAAUGAUAAAGAAUUCUUUAGAUAAAUUUUUUAUCCUUGGUGUCAACCCAGCAAUAUAAUGAUGAGAGAUGAUAAAAUCUUCCCAAGACUUGAAGUCAACCUUGGAUAAAUUUAGCAUUAUUAAAGCCCAAAACAGGACUAAUAUACAUGGAAAUGCUGUUUUGGUUGUAUUGUAAUUUUGGGACUGUACAGUUGUUUACAUGGUAAAGUUGCUCCACUGGUUACCCACUUCUCUCUGAGAAUCAAUUGUGAGCAAUCAAAUUAACCUUCUCAGAUUCACUGAGAACCACGUAAUCAAAUGAACAAGGAUAACCUGAUCACCAUUCCCAAUGAUUACCAUUAAAAAUAAUCAUCUUAUAGACUCAUUGAAUUACCCUUGUCUGACUUGUUAACCUUCAGAUCACACAAUUAUUCAAAUGUAUACAAAUGACCCGGUCAAAUGAUGAUCAUUAUGGAUUAUGAUUGGCUCUAAACACACCAUUUACCUACCUAAUUCACUUGAUUCAGCAUCAUAUUUCCAUCUUGAACACUGUCCAUAUUGUGAACAAUUUAAUCCACCCUUAGCUUUUUGUUUUGCUCAUCUCAGUUGGCUUCUUUAAAUCAUUGUGGGUUGCUUUAUUGGUUGUAAUUUGUUUAUCAUCAUUGUACUCACAUACAUAUAUAUAUAUUAAUUGUACGAUUUGUUUGAUUGUGUGGACAUUUUGGUAUUAUGAUUAUCAUUUGCUUUAUUAUUGAAUCGCAAAAUCAAAAUGAUCUCUACUUUUACACACCUACACUUUAUAUCAAUGCAGUCGCCAUUAAGAAAUCUUAAUUGUAUAACUUAAUAGCAAGGCUUUGGGCUUAACCUUUUAUAUUACAA